ACAGCAGCCGCCACGGUAAUACGUAGGUGGCAAGCGUUGUCCGGAAUUAUUGGGCGUAAAGGGCUCGCAGGCGGUUUCUUAAGUCUGAUGUGAAAGCCCCCGGCUCAACCGGGGAGGGUCAUUGGAAACUGGGAAACUUGAGUGCAGAAGAGGAGAGUGGAAUUCCUCGUGUAGCGGUGAAAUGCGUAGAGAUGUGGAGGAACACCAGUGGCGAAGGCGACUCUCUGGUCUGUAACUGACGCUGAGGAGCGAAAGCGUGGGGAGCGAACAGGAUUAGAUACCCCAGUAGUCCCUGUCUCUUAUAC
rnacentral:rRNA from 1 species